rnacentral:lncRNA from 1 species
CGUCAAUCUGGGACAGGGUGCGUGCACUGUUUCAGAUUUUCAAUAUUCAGCUCUGUGAACGCUGUAAAUGUAUUCUGCCUCACUAUGGGGAUGCCCCACCAUCUCACCUUGGGCACCUCCCAUGGCCAGCUCAGAUAUCCACCAGGCAUGUGAGUGGGCUCUCUGUACACACAGCAGAGGUGAGGGUAGCUCUGUGAUGCAUUUGCUGCCUGCUCAGAGGUACAAGCAGUAGCUGCCUGACUUAACUAUGAGAUCUGAGGAACUCCACAGGUUUGGCAAUCUCAGUUCACCUGGCAGCUUUUGCCCUCUUCCUUUCAGACUGCAGUGACCCUCUUUUGAGGCAGUGGGACAGCUCAGAUGAGGUGAAGGAUUAGGAUGGUAAACGUCACCAAGUCAAUGGUUCAGCCUGGGGAGGCAGUGAUCCAUGCAAAGCCAUCUUUAUGGGUCAAAGAUGUUCACCCCUUUGGAGAAGGUGGUGUGCAAUUUACAGGAUUUCAUCUGUACCAAGCAGGCUGGGAAUGUUUAUCUGGGGUCUCCAAUACUCCAAAUGCCACCUGUCAAAGGACUUAAUGGUUAAGGAGAGCAGUUUGUGGAGGCUUCUCUUCCUCAUCACCCAUCAACAGAUGGAGAAGUGGAGAGCCCCACAGCUGGAGCAGAUGUGGCUGGUUUUGGAGGUGAGUAGCAGACCAUACUAAGCAGCACCAUAAGAGAUAAAACAGCAGGUUUGUUGAUUUCUUGCAUUUUGCAAAACCCCUACUUUGCUGACAAGGCAACAGGA